rnacentral:lncRNA from 1 species
CUGGAUCUAGUUGUUGCUAUGGCUGUGGUACAGGCUGGCUACAAUUCAACUCCUAGCCUGGGAACUACUUAAAAACUGUAACACCACACUACCUGGGGUUAGAUGAAUCUGCAGAUACUGAAUGAAAAGGGUAUGGACGAACCACAUAUAUGGAGAGUGGAUGCACCCCUAACACUCCUAUUGUUCAAGAGUCAGCUGUAUGUUCCAAAGCCUAAGAGAAAGCAAACAUUCCCCUAAAAUGUACUGCAAAAGUUAAUGGAGUUAUAAUGGAAUAUGCCCUAAAGGGUUGGGAAAAUUAAAUGAGAUAUUCACAAUUAGCUCCUCACUAUGGCCAUGCUGCCUAUCAAGUUAUAAAUGCAGCUUUGUGUGUGUGUGAUUAAAGUUCCCAGGCCAGGGAUGAGGCCCAUAUCACCACAGUGAUAAUGCCAGAUCCUUAACCACUAGGCUACCAGAACUCCAAACUUAGCUAUAAUGAAUAACAAACUGGGGGAGUUCCCAUCAUGGCGCAGUGGAAACUAAAUCCGACAAGGAACCAUGAGGUUGCAGGUUCGAUCCCUGGCCUCGCUAGUGGGUUAAGGAUCCGGCAUUGCUGUGAGCUGUGGUGCAGGUCGCAGACGCGGCUUGGAUCCCACAUUGCUGUGGCUCCGGCGUAGGCCAGAUUAGACCCCCUAGCCUGGGAACCUCCUUAUGCUGUGAGCACAGCCCUCAAAAGACAAAAAACAAACAAAAAAAAAAAAAUUGGGAAUUUAGUAGCCAUUUGAAAAACAUCAAUGAUACACCUAAAUAAAUGUUUUCCUACUCUGGCAAGCCUUACUAAUAUAAAACAGCUGCAUUUAUACACAGCCACACUGGAGCUCAGAAACGACUGCUAGUUGAAAGAUGGCACAGAAGGCCACUCCCCACAAGUAAUAUGGGGCAAGGGAUACCUGCCCAGCUAUGCCCACAUCCCCGUAGAAGCAGAAGCAUGGGCCCUGUGCUCAAGGCCCUUACAGUAAUGAUGAAGUCAGUUAUUAAUGAUUUCCCCAGAUAGCCUGACCUGAAGGCCUGGGCUUACAACUGCUUUUGUCUCCAGAUAACAUAUGCAACGAUAAAAUAGUGAGAAAUGCACUGAUAUAUAGCUCUCCUUUAACCCCUACAACUGCCCUGUGAGAUAACUGAGAACCAGAAAGGUUCAAAGCCAUCCUCUCAGAGCACCAGGGAUGGUGCCAGCAUUUAAACCCAGGCCUCUGAUUUUGCAAAGCCCAGUUUCCCCCCCCAAACCCCUUGAAGUUUCCUUUGUAACUUGCUCUGCAGAGAAAGGUAUCCUCCAUCCUCUCUCUGCUCUGCCUCACUUCUCAGCUAAAAGUGGGGAGGAUUAAAUGACCUGUGGGUGGGUGUAGGAUCCAAAUACCUACACAGAGCUAACACUCUGCUGUGGGUUACAGCAACUUUUGCAACAGGGUGGUCUGCAAAACCAGACUGUCUAUGGACAGAACCCCUUUAAACACUGUCCCUGACCCCACCAGUUCCUAUGCUUUUCUUGGUUCUCCACAGACAGUAAUGUCUGUUGGUCUCAAUCCUGUUGGCUUCUUGGCUUCUUCCCAAGUUCUCACAUGCAGGAGCGCUUUCCUGCAUGUGACUGCAGUUCAAUCAGCCCCCUCACUUCUGUAAGACCUGUCAUUAGCUGUCAGGAAUCCUAAUAACAGAACCUAACGCUUCAGAACCAGACAGUAAUCUUCUGGUGAAAAGUCUAUGAAGGCUGCAGCACCUGCUUCCACACUGCCGAAAGCCUUUAUUUCCACGAGUGAGUCCAAAGGGUCAUUUUGCACAUGAUUUUGGUAGCCCAGCAUCAGCAGCUUGCCUACUGAGGGGUGGGAGAUCACUGCUGAGUCUGGCCACAAGGCUAGAUGCUCACACCAAGAAACCUGAACCUUCAUGUGAGGCAAAGAAAAGAAAGCCGGAAAACCAUCCACCGGGGGCCUGGGCAUAGUGACAAUGACAUCCUCUGAGGUAGUUUGCUACUCUGCAUACUUUCCUGCACAUGUUACACGUCAAUGAGUUCACUUUCCCUCUCCAGGCUGCUACUUUGGUGCAGUUUUCCUGCUACAGCACCACCUGGUGGGAUGUUACCAGCACCCCUAAAUCCCAGUUUUAGGUGGACCGAGGUUUGCAGAAAACUUACCAGGCAAAGGAAUUUAAAGUACCACUCAGUCAAAUGUGCAAAGGACUGUACUAGACAGAUCCUAGAUGAUCAGGACUAUCUUAAUCUGUUUCCAGCACCUCCUACUCCAAAGGCUCAAAUGAGCUGGACUGGUUUCACUACCAAUAAUCUCAUGAAGAACUACAUCGUACGUCCAGAAAUACGGCUUUCGCUUAAUACAAACACUAACAUUUUCAGUAACCACCUCUCUCAGCCUUUCCCCUUAAAAAACCUUUCACUGGCUUGAGAAAGGGCUCAAGCCUGGAAAUGUGUCCCUCAGGGUAAACACAGGGAAAGGAAGAGUGCUUUUGUAUUCUGGCUUUAAUUCUUAGCCAAGAGAGAAUCCACACACAUGGACCCACUACCUGGAACACGGUAAACAGCCAGUAACACAUUAGCUAUUCCAGUGCCUUAAGAAUUCUACAAGAGGGGAAUAUUUCUACUAAUAGGACACAGGACACGAUCUCGAUUCCAUUAACACUGACAAAAACAAUGUUACUGUCUAGACAGUAAACAACACCCAAGGCUCUAUUAAAAGGAGACACACAGAUACAUUUGUGAGUGUGCUUUCAACAUAAUUCAUUACCUCUAAUUAGUCUUUUAGGAUCUUCGAAGUCACCUUGUCCUUCACUAGUUUCACCUGAAUAAAUGAAGAGCACCCAAUUUCUUGUAGCUAUGUCAUCAAUAGAAAACACUUCAAGAUAUGAAAGAGAACACU